AACGCACAUUGCGCCUUCUGGUAUUCCGGGAGGCAUGCCUGUUCGAGAGUCAUUAACAACCAUCUCGAAUCCCUUUCUUUUCCGUAUCCGGAGGGUGGGGGGGAAUCGGUGUUGGUGGUGGAGGGAAUGGAGUUUGUUGAGCUUGCCCACUAUAUGUUUGGCAAAUCUCUCCUCCCCACUGAAAUUUGGUGGUGGGAUACUUGGGUUUUGGUGGGAUUUGAGGGGAUAUGAUGACCUUGAUGAUCUUCUUCCCCUCGCUUUCUGAAAUUCGCACAUUGAGUUUCUUAACCCAGUCAGCUGUCCCCCAUAAUAACAUCAAUCAUAUCCAAAGGUUGACCUCGGAUCAGGUAGGGAUACCCGCUGAACUUAA
rnacentral:misc_RNA from 1 species